ensembl:lncRNA LOC102554815 uncharacterized LOC102554815
CACCCGCCCACGUGGCCAGCGCCCCGCCCUCUGAGUUCCGCCCAACCGGGCAAGACCCGAGCUGCUCCUGAGCGUGCGCAGAGACAAGGAGCGCCUGAGCUCGCAUUGAGUCCGCUGGUUUCCUUCUUGGACCAACAGAACGCGUACGUUGGUGUUCCCGGUUGUCAGUUGUAGAAGAACAGAGAAAUAAAGGACCCUGAGACGUCCGCUGCCGCGGUAGCGGCAUUUUUCUCUUCCUCACAAAACAGUAUUGUAAAAACCUUACUGUUAAGAGUGAUUGGGGUGGUUUGGUUGGGCUAGAGUCAGGACAGAGGUGUCAAGCUGCAACUACAGCAGAUCUGGGACUUAAGGAGUUUGUCUCGGGCUGCUCAGCCUCCCAAGUGCGAGAACUGCAGACGCGAGCCACCACACCUGGCUUUCAAGGGAACUUGGACGGUUGGGAAAACAAUGAUCCAGAGAGGCAUUGCCAUCCAUACGAUUCUGACAACAAGUUCACUGUGCUGUGUCCAGAGGCGAUGAGAAAGAAGUGAUGUGUCUCCACUUGAAGAGUCAUAUACAUGACAAGGAUAACAGACAACGGUCAGGGGCUUGGAAGCAAAGGAUGAGGGGCCAUGAGACAUCUCGGAUGCACCCAGGAAAAUGUGACUCUGAUUCCUUGAAGCACUGCUUAUUGAAGCACGGUGUUGUAAGGACUUCCUAACAGAUAUAUUUACACGGAGUGCCUUGCAGUAUACCAGAGUCCCAAAACGACAAGAAAGUCUAACUCAUCUUCAUCUGGGAAUUCGGCCAGAGAAGGGAGAGGAGGCACAGGGGCAGCUGCAGAUGGUUGCUCCCCAGCACCCUGCGUUCUUCAAUGUCCUCAACUACUACUCAGCUUGUGUAAUUUUUGAGACUCAUGGCCAGGAUCUAAAUCAUCCCUGAUUAAAGCCCACAAAGGAAAAGAAAAAGAAGAACAGGAAGAAGAGGAGGAGGAUAAAGGAGGAAGGAGGAAGAAGAAGAUCCAUUCUACAUUAUCUUCAAAAAAUACAACAUUGAUAGGUUGAUCUUACCAAAACUCUUAAGGUCUACUUUGAAAUCUAUAAAAGUUAAGUGAAACAUUAUGUACCUAGACAAACAAAUUCAAAGACGUCCAAAGUCUAUCUACAUAACCACACUGAUGUCAAAUUGGAAAAUUUAGUUUAAAAUAACCAAAAACAUAUAAAUGUUCUUAUGGAACUACAAAAUUCCAGGCCGUGAAAGCAGCUGAAAAGGACAACUACCCUCUCCCAUUCCAGCCUGAGCAAAGCAGGCUCGUGGACCAGUGACACCCAGAAAUUAAGAGGUUUUUGGAACCCAGGAGAUCUUGGAAGGCUGCUCUGCAGCUGUCAUCACCACAAGAUGAAUAUAUUGAAUUGCACUGCAAAUGAUAUGGAUAUCGUUUGGACCACCCUGAGUAAAGGAGAAAGAAAGAAGGUUGGGAGGCCCAUGAACGUUCAACAAAGGCCAAAAAAGAAAAAAAAAAAAAGAUUGGCCUGAGGCUAAGCUCUACCAUAAAUUGGCCAUGCAAAGAAAAUACAAAUAAAAAGACUAUUAAGAUGCAUAAAAAGAAAAACACCAAGCAGAAGGAUGAGGAGAAGACUCCACAGGAGCCGUGCCUGCCUACCUGCUGGACAGAGAGGGGCAGUCAAGAGCAAAAGUACUUUCCAACACGAUUAAGCAGAAAAGGAAAGGUGGGAAAACGCGAGUUCCCUCUACCCAAAGUUCGUGCCCAAGGAGAAGCAGAUGUAUUCAAAGUUAUUCGAACAGGAAAAAGAAAAAUCAUGGAAGAGAAUGGUUACAAAAAGUCUUUGUUGGUGAUGGUUUUACAAGAAAACCACCUAAAUAUGAAAGGUUCAUUAGGCCACUGGGUCUAUGUUUCAGAAAAGCCCAUGUCACACACCCUGAGCUGAAAGCUACCUUUUGCCUGCCUAUACUUGAUGUGAAAAAGGAUCCACCAUCCCCAUUAUAGACAACCCUGGGUAUGAUCACCAGAGUAUGAUCACCUGAGGUACAGUUAUUGAAGUGAUUGUGAGCAAGCUGGGCCUUGUGACACAAGGAGGCAAGAUGAUUUGGGGAAAGUGUGCCCAAGUUACCAACUAUCCCAAAAAUGAUGGGUGCAUAAAUGCAGUCUUGCCGGUUUGGCAGUGACCUCAUACAAGUCAUCCCACUCACUACCGAAGACUACACACUGUCAGGAAAACACCAUCGCUGUGAUCUUUCUGAACUACCAAUCAGCCUUACCCCAUGUGCAGUCAUCAAGAAGAAUUUAUUAAAUUGUAAAGGAAAAUAAAACACUGUCCAAUUAAAAAAAAAAGAAAGCAGUUGUAAGAAAAAUAAAGCUGGAAAUACACAUUCACUGACUUCCCAAAAUACAGCAUUGGAUUAAUCAAAACAUUUUGACAGUUCUGUAAAAACAAGCACGGAACACAGACAGCAUUCACACAGAUAUCUACACACACACACACACACACACACACACACACACACACACACACACACACACACAUACACACACAGCUGCUACUGCUUCCUAAACGUGUACAGGAAGUGCAAGAGGAAAGGAGAGUGUCUUUCAUGAUGCACGUUUGGAUAUCUAGCAGCGGAACGAAAUGGGCUCUCACAGUUCACACCAAAGUCAAAUAAAAAAUUAUUGUAGUCUACCGUGAGCCCUUUUUUAUGGUAUACCUACUUUUAAUCUUUUGAGGGUUUGUCAGUCCGGUUUCCAGAGUGGAUGGAUUCCUUUAAAAUUUCCCCCAAAAUCCACCACUGCUUCCUUUCUAUCAUACUGUCAGUUGUUUGAUUGGUCUCUGCCAGCCAACUGACUGCAAUUACCACAAUUCUCAGCAACAGAUCAAAACCACAAUCUAUAAAAACAGCAUCAACUCACAGAAAAAACCUCCAUAAUUCUGAUAAUAGCCAAUAUAACAAACUUCCUUAAUCCAGAUAAUAAAUGCCCCCAAACAACAGAGUUUAUGUGCCUCAUAUUUCCAGUUCUACCAAACGGCUUGUCCAUGAGGAUUAGGCAAGCUGCCCCAGUAACGUUCUCACUCAGUAGCCUGCUUCAGUGCUGCUGCAGAACUCCCUUGAGUCAGCCUGACUCACAGAGAGUGAGCUUGAAACAACAGAGAGCACAGGCAUUUUCCAUCUCGUGGGAGUCAAAGACAGGGCUGGUGGAAAGGGAAGGCCAGGCAGCUCAGGCAUGCUGAGGAGAGGAGGAAGACUUAGGAUGGUGGUGUAUUCUCCACUAGGUUUUCAGGAGAUCUAGGGAAUGGGAAAAGUUGGGGCUGAGGUAUGCUGUUGCCAGGACCCCAGCAGAUGUGGGAGGACAAGACUAAGAUACUCAGAGAGGAGGAGG